rnacentral:rRNA from 1 species
UACGUAGGGUGCGAGCGUUAAUCGGAAUUACUGGGCGUAAAGCGUGCGCAGGCGGUCUUUUAAGUCAGAUGUGAAAUCCCCGGGCUUAACCUGGGAACUGCGUUUGAAACUGGAAGGCUAGAGUGUGGCAGAGGGGGGUGGAAUUCCACGUGUAGCAGUGAAAUGCGUAGAGAUGCGGAGGAACACCGAUGGCGAAGGCAGCCCCCCUGGGCUAGCACUGACGCUCAGGCACGAAAGGCGUGGGGAGCAAACAGG